rnacentral:lncRNA from 1 species
AAGGGUAUAGGAUACUUGCCUUAAAUCUGACUCCAGUUUCACAGCUCAUUCUCAUCUUUCAACUUUCACAAUCUAUGCAUCUCGUAAUCUCUAGACCAUCUCUAGCUAUACUCUAUUCGCCACAUCGCUUCGCUUACUCGAUUCAUCCCUUAUUCACUUUGCAAUACCAUUCCGACUUUCGGACGUCACGUCUCGUCCAAAUCCUUUACGAGAAUAAGAUAAUACUAUAGUCACUAAACAAUAUAUCGCAUAUACAUAUCACGUAUACCGAUACCCACUUAUAUACCCCUUUAAACUUAUCAGAUACCACGUAACACAUAAGCUUGCUUUGACUCUAACAUAUAAUCAAUCAUAU